GACGAACCGAGCGAACGUUAUUCGGAAUCACUGGGCGUAAAGGGCGCGUAGGCGGCUCAUACAGUCAGGCGUGAAAUUCCUGGGCUCAACCUGGGGACUGCGCUUGAGACGUGUGGGCCUGAGUGGGGAAGAGGGUCGUGGAAUUCCCAGUGUAGAGGUGAAAUUCGUAGAUAUUGGGAAGAACACCGGUGGCGAAGGCGGCGACCUGGUCCUUGACUGACGCUGAGGCGCGAAAGCGUGGGGAGCAAACAGG
rnacentral:rRNA from 1 species